rnacentral:rRNA from 1 species
GAGCGCCGUAGCAAUACGGAGCGGCAGACGGGAGAGUAACACGUGGGAACGUGCCCUUCAGUUCGGAACAACCCAGGGAAACUUGGGCUAAUACCGGAUACGUCCGUAAGGAGAAAGAUUUAUCGCUGAAGGAUCGGCCCGCGUCUGAUUAGCUAGUUGGUGAGGUAACGGCUCACCAAGGCGACGAUCAGUAGCUGGUCUGAGAGGAUGAUCAGCCUCACUGGGACUGAGACACGGCCCAGACUCCUACGGGAGGCAGCAGUGGGGAAUAUUGGACAAUGGGCGCAAGCCUGAUCCAGCCAUGCCGCGUGGGUGAUGAAGGCCCUAGGGUUGUAAAGCCCUUUCGGCGGGGAAGAUAAUGACGGUACCCGCAGAAGAAGCCCCGGCUAACUUCGUGCCAGCAGCCGCGGUAAUACGAAGGGGGCUAGCGUUGCUCGGAAUCACUGGGCGUAAAGCGCACGUAGGCGGCUUUUUAAGUCAGGGGUGAAAUCCUGGAGCUCAACUCCAGAACUGCCUUUGAUACUGAGAAGCUUGAGUCCGGGAGAGGUGAGUGGAACUGCGAGUGUAGAGGUGAAAUUCGUAGAUAUUCGCAAGAACACCAGUGGCGAAGGCGGCUCACUGGCCCGGUACUGACGCUGAGGUGCGAAAGCGUGGGGA